GAUGAACGCUGGCGGCGUGCCUAAUACAUGCAAGUCGAGCGGUAAGGCUCUACACUUAGUAUUUUAUCGUGAUAAUUCUAUUGUGAUAAUAUCGCAAGAUUAUUGUUAAAUCGAACCAACUCAAUCCUAGGCUAGGAAAGAGGGCAGCAAGAGGAGAUCGAAUCCUAAGUGUAGAGUACACGAGCGGCGGACGGCUGAGUAACGCGUAGGAACGUACCCCAAAGUGAGGGAUAAGCACCAGAAAUGGUGUCUAAUACCGCAUGUGCUCCACGGAGUAAAGCUUCGGCGCUUUGGGAACGGCCUGCGUCUGAUUAGCUUGUUGGUGAGGUAAAAGCUCACCAAGGCGACGAUCAGUAGCUGGUCUGAGAGGAUGAUCAGCCAGACUGGGACUGAGACACGGCCCAGACUCCUACGGAGGCAGCAGUAGGGAAUUUUCCACAAUGGACGAAAGUCUGAUGGAGCAACG
rnacentral:rRNA from 1 species